rnacentral:rRNA from 1 species
CAGCCGCCGCGGUAAUACGUAGGGUGCAAGCGUUAAUCGGAAUUACUGGGCGUGAAGCGUGCGCAGGCGGUCCGCUAAGACAGAUGUGAAAUCCCCGGGCUUAACCUGGGAACUGCAUUUGUGACUGGCGGGCUAGAGUAUGGCAGAGGGGGGUAGAAUUCCACGUGUAGCAGUGAAAUGCGUAGAGAUGUGGAGGAAUACCGAUGGCGAAGGCGGCUCACUGGACAAUUACUGACGCUGAUGCACGAAAGCUAGGGGAGCAAACAGGAUUAGAUACCCGGGUAGUCCCUGUCUCUUAUAC